ACUCAAAGGAAUUGACGGGGGCCCGCACAAGCAGCGGAGCGUGUGGUUUAAUUCGAGGCUACGCGAAGAACCUUACCUGGGUUUGACAUAGCAUUGAACGAGGCUGAAAGGCUGAGGUUCCCGCAAGGGACAGUGUUACAGGUGCUGCAUGGCUGUCGUCAGCUCGUGCCGUGAGGUGUUCGGUUAAGUCCGCAAACGAGCGCAACCCCCGGGGUUAGUUACACGUGUCUAACCCGACUGCCCGUGGCAAACGGGAGGAAGGUGGGGAUGAUGUCAAGUCAGCAUGGCCUUUAUAUCCAGGGCUACACACACGCUACAAUGGCGUAUACAAUGGGUAGCGAAGCCGCGAGGCGGAGCCAAUCCUGCAAAGUACGUCUCAGUUCGGAUUGUAGGCUGCAACCCGCCUGCAUGAAGUUGGAGUUGCUAGUAACCGCGCGUCAGCACAGUGCGGUGAAUACGUUCCCGGGCCUUGCACACACCGCCCGU
rnacentral:rRNA from 1 species